UACGGGGGGGGCAAGCGUUGUUCGGAAUUACUGGGCGUAAAGGGCUCGUAGGCGGCCAACUAAGUCAGACGUGAAAUCCCUCGGCUUAACCGGGGAACUGCGUCUGAUACUGGAUGGCUUGAGUUUGGGAGAGGGACGCGGAAUUCCAGGUGUAGCGGUGAAAUGCGUAGAUAUCUGGAGGAACACCGGUGGCGAAGGCGGCGUCCUGGACCAAGACUGACACUGAUGAGCGAAAGCCAGGGGAGCAAACGGG
rnacentral:rRNA from 1 species